rnacentral:rRNA from 1 species
AUUGAACGCUGGCGGCAUGCCUUACACAUGCAAGUCGAACGGCAGCACGGACUUCGGUCUGGUGGCGAGUGGCGAACGGGUGAGUAAUAUAUCGGAACAUGCCUUGUAGUGGGGGAUAACUAUCCGAAAGGAUAGCUAAUACCGCAUACGCUCUAUGGAGGACAGCGGGGGAUCGUAAGACCUAGUGCUAUAAGAGUGGCCGAUAUCUGAUUAGCUAGUUGGUGAGGUAAAGGCUCACCAAGGCGACGAUCAGUAGAUGGUCUGAGAGGACGACCAGCCACGCUGUAACUGAGACACGGUCCAGACUCCUACGGGAGGAAGCAGUGGGGAAUUUUGUACAAUGGGGCCAACCCUGAUUCAGCAAUGCCGCGUGAGUGAAGAAGGCCUUCGGGUUGUAAAGCUCUUUUGUCAGGGAAGAAACGGUUGUGGCUAAUAUCCAUGGCUAAUGACGGUACCUGAAGAAUAAGCACCGGCUAACUACGUGCCAGCCGCCGCAGUAAGAC